UUAAAGUUGUUGCAGUUAAAAAGCUCGUAGUUGAAACUUGGGCCUGGCUGGCGGGUCCGCCUCACCGCGUGCACUCGUCCGGCCGGGCCUUCCUUCUGAAGAACCUCAUGCCCUUCACUGGGCGUGCUGGGGAAUCAGGACUUUUACUUUGAAAAAAUUAGAGUGUUCAAAGCAGGCCUUUGCUCGAAUACGUUAGCAUGGAAUAAUAAAAUAGGGCGUGCGUUUCUAUUUUGUUGGUUUCUAGAGACGCCGCAAUGAUUAACAGGAACAGUCGGGGGCAUCAGUAUUCAGUUGUCAGAGGUGAAAUUCUUGGAUUUACUGAAGACUAACUACUGCGAAAGCAUUUGCCAAGGAUGUUUUCAUUAAUCAGGAACGAAAGUUAGGGGAUCGAAGACGAUCAGAUACCGUCGUAGUCUUAACCAUAAACUAUGCCGACUAGGGAUCGGGCGAUGUUCUUCUUUUGACUCGCUCGGCACCUUACGAGAAAUCA
rnacentral:rRNA from 1 species